CUUCGCUUCUUCCUCUUCUUGUUCGGUUCCGGUGUAAUGGCCGGAAAUCCGACUCGGGGAGCUCGAUUGGGAAAUCCGACCGACGACUCCCGGUCGACUCCGGAAGUUGAGGUUUCCUCGCUUUCGGGGCCGAACGUUGAUCGGCUUCGGGAGCAGUAUCGCAUCCCGGAGCAGUUUCAACUCUCCGCCCCAGGGGCCGACGGUCGGGUUAACAACCCUCCGCCUGGCCAACUGGCGUUUUAUGUUGAAGA
rnacentral:lncRNA from 1 species